rnacentral:rRNA from 1 species
UACGUAGGGUGCAAGCGUUGUCCGGAAUUAUUGGGCGUAAAGAGCUCGUAGGCGGUUUGUCGCGUCUGCUGUGAAAAACUCGGGGCUUAACUCCGGGGCCUGCAGUGGGUACGGGCAGACUAGAGUGCGGUAGGGGAGACUGAAAUUCCUGGUGUAGCGGUGAAAUGCGCAGAUAUCAGGAGGAACACCGGUGGCGAAGGCGGGUCUCUGGGCCGUAACUGACGCUGAGGUGCGAAAGCGUGGGGAGCAAACAGG